rnacentral:lncRNA from 1 species
UGGCUAUAUUCAAACACGGCCCUGUGUCGGUUGCCAUAGACGCGUCACACAAGACGUUCAGUUUUUAUUCGAACGGAGUGUACUAUGAUCCCAAAUGCAAAAACAAGAUAGACGAGUUAGACCACGCGGUCUUGGCCGUUGGUUACGGCAUCUUGAACGGUCAGAAGUAUUGGCUGAUCAAGAACUCUUGGUCUAACAUGUGGGGUAAUGAUGGCUACGUUCUGAUGUCAAGCAAAGAUAAUAAUUGUGGAGUAGAAACCGCACCUACCUAUGUACUUAUUUGAAUUAAUAAAUAAAAUGAAAAUUUGUAUGAAUUGUAGUUUAGGUUACCGUUAAAAUGUAUAAGUCCAUAAGUUUUGGUAUUGCAAAGUGAUAAGAUAAAUUUUUUAAAAAUAAUAUGUUAUAAAAAUCACAAGCGACAAAAGUAACCUCCAAAUUUUGUUCGCGCCUUAAAUAUGUAUGUGUCAUGUGAGAAUCUCAUUUUUUUUUAAAUUUGGAAGUCCGAUAUUGUUGCUGCGUGCCAAUAUUUUUGAAGACACAAAAAUAUUUUGUAAAUUGUGUAAUGCAUGCAUUAUGGGAGACCUAUUUUAGAUGCGUUCACUCGGCUGGUUCGGGAUGGCGGGUGCCGCCAUUUUUAAAUGGAUUACAAAAUCUAUACCUAUAGGUAUCUUAUUUUGCUUGAUGCAAAAGUAAUAAUUACAUAAAAUAUUUAAGGAAUGGAAAACUUUACAUAAAAUAGAAAUUUCGGGUAAAAUGCAGCGUGAUAAAAAUAUUGCAAUUGAAAUUUUAGAAAUAAAUUUACGUUUCCUCUUCAAAUGAAUCUGGGUUUGUUAAUUUACUUUCUUUGAGAAAUCAUUAAUAAUCAAAAAUAUGAAGGUAGAAUGACAUAUCAGAUGAUACAGAGUAAUUUCACCAUAGAUAUAACUUUGGGCUAUGAUAACCAUAAGUUUUUAUUUUUACAUAUAAGUUUUUUUUUGUAAUCGAUCCAUGACAUUUGUAAAAUCAAGUGCAUGCGAGGUUUAAGUUGCUUUUGUAAGAAUCGAACUUAAGACCAGUGUUGCUUAGCUGGCUGGCAGUGUUUUUAACCUUUUACGUCGGGGCCUCACAAUAUACUUGGUAUAAAUAUAUAUAAUCUCAUUAUAAUAUAGAAUAAUCUGCCUUAUAUAUUUUCUUUUUUUUAAAGAAAAUGUAAAGUUAAUGGCUGUGUUCAACAUUCCUUGGCUUUUAAACCGACUUCAUAAUAGGAGGUUGUAUGUAUUUUUUUUUGUAAACUAAGAAAAAGAUUUUAAUAAAGUUUAUUAUACAAUUUUGA